rnacentral:rRNA from 1 species
UACGUAGGGUGCAAGCGUUGUCCGGAAUUAUUGGGCGUAAAGGGCUCGUAGGCGGUUUGUCGCGUCGGGAGUGAAAUCCACUGGCUUAACUGGUGGCUUGCUUUCGAUACGGGCAGACUGGAGGUAUGCAGGGGGAGAACGGAAUUCCUGGUGUAGCGGUGAAAUGCGCAGAUAUCAGGAGGAACACCGAUGGCGAAGGCAGCUCGCUGGGACGGUACUGACGCUGAGGCGCGAAAGCGUGGGGAGCAAACAGG